rnacentral:tRNA from 1 species
GCCCAGGUGCUGAAACUGGUAGACAGGCAUGGUUGAGGGCCAUGUGUCCGUAAGGAUGUGCAAGUUCGAUUCUUGUUCUGGGCACAA